UACGGGGGGAGCAAGCGUUGUUCGGAUUUACUGGGCGUAAAGGGCGCGUAGGCGGCCACGACAAGUCACUUGUGAAAUCUCCGGGCUUAACUCGGAAAGGUCAAGUGAUACUGUCGGGCUAGAGUACAGAAGGGGCAACUGGAAUUCUCGGUGUAGCGGUGAAAUGCGUAGAUAUCGAGAGGAACACCGGCGGCGAAGGCGGGUUGCUGGGCUGAUACUGACGCUGAUGCGCGAAAGCCAGGGGAGCGAACGGG
rnacentral:rRNA from 1 species